GAUGAACGCUAGCUACAGGCUUAACACAUGCAAGUCGCGGGGCAGCAUGGGGGUUGCUUGCAAUCCCCGAUGGCGACCGGCGCACGGGUGAGUAACGCGUAUCCAACCUGCCCUUCACCACGGGAUAACCCGGCGAAAGUCGGACUAAUACCGUAUGUUGUCCAUUGACGGCAUCCGAUUUGGACGAAAGGUUUGGCGGUGAAGGAUGGGGAUGCGUCCGAUUAGCUGGACGGCGGGGUGACGGCCCACCGUGGCGACGAUCGGUAGGGGUUCUGAGAGGAAGGUCCCCCACACUGGAACUGAGACACGGUCCAGACUCCUACGGGAGGCAGCAGUGAGGAAUAUUGGUCAAUGGGCGUAAGCCUGAACCAGCCAAGUAGCGUGCAGGAUGACGGCCCUAUGGGUUGUAAACUGCUUUUAUGCGGGGAUAAAGUGGCCCACGUGUGGGUUUUUGCAGGUACCGCAUGAAUAAGGACCGGCUAAUUCCGCG
rnacentral:rRNA from 1 species